rnacentral:lncRNA from 1 species
CUCGUGCUUAUCUUGUACCUCAAUUUCAGUAGUGACCCCUACCUCAUCCUUUGACUGGGGCUGCUACAUUGAGUGUUGUCUCAACAUCCUACACAACUCCUAAUCGAGUUCUCAUAAAUUUCUUUGGAUAGGACACCAUAGUUCUCCGUCUAGCCAAAGUCACUUCUCGUGCUCACCGUCUACCUUGGUGUCAGUUGCGAC